GGCAACCCGGUCAGGUCCCCUUCCAUGCUGUGGAAGAUUUGUUCUUUCACUCUUCACAAUAAUUCUUGCUGCUGCUCACUCUUUGGGUUCGCACUACCUUUAUGAGCUGUAACACUCACUGCGAAGGUCUGCAGCUUCACUCCUAAAGUCAGUGAGACCACUAACCCACCAGAAGGAAGAAACAACUCCAGACAUGCCACCUUUAAGAGCUGUAACACUGCAAAGGUCUGCGGCUUCACUCCUGAAGUCAAGCGAGACCAUGAACCCACCAGAAGGAAGAAACUCCAGACCCAUCUGAACAUCUGAAGGAACAAACUCCGGACACACCACUUUUAAAAACUGUAACACUCACCGUGAGGGUCCUCAGCUUCAUUCUUGAAGUCAGCAAGACCAAUAACCCACCGGAAGGAACCAAUUCUGGACACAUUUUGGCAACCAUGAAGGGAUUAUCGCCUAUCGCCAAGGGUUAAGGUGGCAGGGGUGGAAUCUUGGAUUCACCACACCUGAG
rnacentral:lncRNA from 1 species